GGGGGGGGGGACCAAACAACAAGGCAAGUUUGACUGUUUCCUCUCUGUCCAUCUUGCACGUACAUGUAUGUAGGUAUAUAUGUAUGUAGGUAUAUACAUGUAUGUAGGUAUAUAUGUACGUGAUGCCAAAUUGUGUCAGCGCUCUAGCAGCUUUGUUCCUUGAGGGAUUUGAUCAAACUUCACACAAUGACAAAGGAUCAUAAUAUCUUAGACAUGGUCAAGGUUCAGAGUUUUUGGGUCAAUACUAUUUUUACUGGGGUCAAUAGGGGACAGGUAUCACUUGAACUCAACAAACUGUUGUUUACAUUAUGUUCAUGUUUAUUGGCCCAGGUAGAGGGGGAAACUGCCUUACAUUAGAAAAUUGGUCAAAAUAAAAUACAUAGUAAUAUAUACAGUG